UUGACCUCGGAUCAGGUAGGGAUACCCGCUGAACUUAAGCAUAUCAAUAAGCGGAGGAAAAGAAACCAACAGGGAUUGCCCCAGUAACGGCGAGUGAAGCGGC
rnacentral:rRNA from 1 species